UACGGGGGGGGCAAGCGUUGUUCGGAAUUACUGGGCGUAAAGGGCUCGUAGGUGGCCAACUAAGUCAGACGUGAAAUCCCUCGGCUUAACCGGGGAACUGCGUCUGAUACUGGAUGGCUUGAGAUUGGGAGAGGGAUGCGGAAUUCCAGGUGUAGCGGUGAAAUGCGUAGAUAUCUGGAGGAACACCGGUGGCGAAGGCGGCAUCCUGGGCCAACACUGACGCUCAUGCGCGAAAGCGUGGGGAGCAAACAGG
rnacentral:rRNA from 1 species